AGUGAGGACAGCCACUGUCCUGUGUCCUCACAGAUGGCUGCCUUCUGGCUCUGGAGCUCUGGCGUGCAGCCCUAUGCUAUGGCCAUGACCUACUUUCAUUCACCCGAAGGCCCUGCUGCCGGAGUCAAGGAAAGAGCGAGUUGAAUGUGGGACCACCUGCCCAGAAUGGCCCCACCCACAGUAGCCUGGGCCCUCCCACAUCAGCCAUCAGCAAAAUGCUGCACAGACUUGCCCACAGAGCAACAGGACAGAGACACUUCCUCUUUCCAGAGG